rnacentral:rRNA from 1 species
GGAGGAAAAGAAACCAACAGGGAUUGCCUUAGUAGCGGCGAGUGAAGCGGCAAAAGCUCAAAUUUGAAAUCUGGCGCCUUCGGUGUCCGAGUUGUAAUUUGAAGAUUGUAACCUUGGGGUUGGCUCUUGUCUAUGUUUCUUGGAACAGGACGUCACAGAGGGUGAGAAUCCCGUGCGAUGAGAUGCCCAAUUCUAUGUAAGGUGCUUUCGAAGAGUCGAGUUGUUUGGGAAUGCAGCUCUAAGUGGGUGGUAAAUUCCAUCUAAAGCUAAAUAUUGGCGAGAGACCGAUAGCGAACAAGUACAGUGAUGGAAAGAUGAAAAGAACUUUGAAAAGAGAGUGAAAAAGUACGUGAAAUUGUUGAAAGGGAAGGGUUUGAGAUCAGACUCGAUAUUUUGUGAGCCUUGCCUUCGUGGCGGGGUGACCCGCAGCUUAUCGGGCCAGCAUCGGUUUGGGCGGUAGGAUAAUGGCGUAGGAAUGUGACUUUACUUCGGUGAAGUGUUAUAGCCUGCGUUGAUGCUGCCUGCCUAGACCGAGGACUGCGAUUUUAUCAAGGAUGCUGGCAUAAUGAUCCCAAACCGCCCGUCUUGAACCACGGG